rnacentral:rRNA from 1 species
CCCUUAGAUGUCCGGGGCCGCACGCGCGCUACACUGAAGGAAUCAGCGUGGCUUUCUCCCUGACCCGAAAGGGUUGGGAAACCCGUUGAAUCUCCUUCGUGAUAGGGAUUGGGGCUUGAAAUUGUUCCCCAUGAACGAGGAGUUCCCAGUAAGCGCGAGUCAUAAGCUCGCGUUGAUUGCGUCCCUGCCCUUUGUACACACCGCCCGUCGCUACUACCGAUUGAACGGUUUAGUGAGGGCCUCGGAUUGGUCUCGGCCCGCUCUUUACCGGGCGGCGCCGUUGGUCGAGAAGACGCUCGAACUUGAUCGUUUAGAGGAAGUAAAAGUCGUAACA